ACCCAGAUGACGAGUCUGAAAUAGGACGAUACGCGCGUUCUGGAU
rnacentral:hammerhead_ribozyme from 1 species